UACGUAGGAGGCGAGCGUUGUCCGGAUUUACUGGGCGUAAAGAGCGCGUAGGUGGUUUAGCAAGUUGGGUGUGAAAUCUCCUGGCUCAACUGGGAGGGUGCACUCGAGACUGCUAGGCUUGAGGGCAGCAGAGGGAAGUGGAAUUCCCGGUGUAGUGGUGAAAUGCGUAGAUAUCGGGAGGAACACCGGUGGCGAAGGCGGCUUUCUGGGCUGCACCUGACGCUGAGGCGCGAAAGCGUGGGGAGCGAACCGG
rnacentral:rRNA from 1 species